rnacentral:rRNA from 1 species
GUGAGGAAUUUUCCGCAAUGGGCGAAAGCCUGACGGAGCAAUGCCGCGUGAAGGAUGAAGGCCUAUGGGUUGUAAACUUCUUUUCUCAGAAAAGAAUUAUGACGGUAUCUGAGGAAUAAGCAUCGGCUAACUCUGUGCCAGCAGCCGCGGUAAGACAGAGGAUGCAAGCGUUAUCCGGAAUGAUUGGGCGUAAAGCGUCUGUAGGUUGUUUAAAAAGUAUUCUGUCAAAGAUUAGGGCUUAACCCUAGAUAGGCAGAAUAAACUUUUAAGCUAGAGUUUGGUAGAGGCAGAGGGAAUUCCCGGUGGAGCGAUGAAAUGCGUAGAUAUCGGGAGGAACACCAAAGGCGAAGGCACUCUGCUGGGCCAAUACUAACACUGAGAGACGAAAGCGAGGGGAGCAAAUGGGAUUAGAUACCCCAGUAGUCC